GCCUUUAGUCUUCUGGGCCUUGUCCACACGGAGACGUGUUUAGCUGUAAACGCAUACAUUUUGUAUCGUAUAGGCGUUUCGUCCACACGGAUCCGGCGUUUUGGGAGAGUUGAAACCGAUAUAUUUUUAAACUGGGUCCCAGAGUGGAUAAAUCUG